GAUCCUGGCUCAGGACGAACGCUGGCGGCGUGCCUAAUACAUGCAAGUCGAGCGAAGUUUUUCUGGUGCUUGCACUAGAAAAACUUAGCGGCGAACGGGUGAGUAACACGUAAAGAACCUGCCUCAUAGACUGGGACAACUAUUGGAAACGAUAGCUAAUACCGGAUAACAGCAUUAACUGCAUGGUUGGUGUUUGAAAGUUGGUUAUGCUAACACUAUGAGAUGGCUUUGCGGUGCA
rnacentral:rRNA from 1 species